rnacentral:rRNA from 1 species
CAAUAGCGUAUAUUAAAGUUGUUGCAGUUAAAAAGCUCGUAGUUGGAUUUCUGGUGGGAGCGAUCGGUCUAGCGCUUAGCGCGAGUACUUGCAUCGUCUCCGGCCAUCCUUGGGGAGAGUCUGUCUGGCAUUAGGUUGUCGGGCAGAGGAUCCUCAUCGUUUACUGUGAAAAAAUUAGAGUGUUCAAAGCAGGCUUAUGCCGUUGAAUAUAUUAGCAUGGAAUAAUAAGAUAGGACUUUGGUACUAUUUUGUUGGUUUGCGCACCAAAGUAAUGAUUAAUAGGGACAGUUGGGGGUAUUCGUAUUCCGUUGUCAGAGGUGAAAUUCUUGGAUUUACGGAAGACGAACUACUGCGAAAGCAUUUACCAAGGAUGUUUUCAUUAA